rnacentral:rRNA from 1 species
GACGAACGCUGGCGGCGUGCUUAACACAUGCAAGUCGAACGAUGAACCCGGAGCUUGCUCCGGUGGAUUAGUGGCGAACGGGUGAGUAACACGUGAGUAACCUGCCCUUGACUCUGGGAUAACUGCGGGAAACUGUAGCUAAUACCGGAUACGACCCUCGGCGGCAUCGCCAGGGGGUGGAAAGAAUUUCGGUCAAGGACGGACUCGCGGCCUAUCAGCUAGUUGGUGCGGUAACGGCUCACCAAGGCGACGACGGUCAGCCGGCCUGAGAGGGUGACGUGCCACACGUGGACAGAGACCAGGCCCAGACUCCUACGGGAGGAAGCGGUGGGGAAUAUUUCACAAUGGGCGCAAGCCUGAUGCAGCAACGCCGCGUGAGAGAUGACGGCCUUCGGGUUGUAAACCUCUUUUAGUAGGGAAGAAGCGAAAGUGACGGUACCUGCAGAAAAAGCACCGGCUAACUACGUGCCAGCAGCCGCCGUAA